GCUCAUUCACGAUCCUCCCGUUUUAGCAGCAGGAGUCCGGAGCAUCCUGAGUGUGGCGAAGCCAGGGCUUCCUGCACUGGGCAGGACAAAACUUGAGGCAUCCAUCGUGUCAAGUACGGAGGGAGAAAUGAACGGCUCGACAUCGAAUCACAGAACGUUCCCAAAUGGGGUUGCUUGUGACGUCACUGUCUUCAAAAUCUGCUGA
rnacentral:lncRNA from 1 species